rnacentral:lncRNA from 1 species
AGCUAGUUAUAUAUGGUGAGGGCACCAGAGUAGGAUCGGGGUUUUGUUCAGCUGCCAGGGCUCAGCAGUACAUUCAUCAUGGGUGUAUGAGUUAUCUAGCGUACGUGGUAGAUACGCGAGUCGGGGACCAGAUUUCUGAUGGGUUUUGAGCAUUCUAACACUUCCUAAGUGUACAUGCAACCCUAAUAACAUUGGAUCUAUGUUUGUCUAAUUAUCAUGCAAAGUUGAAUUUCCAAGGUUAUAUUCCUAUCUAGCAUACAUGGGGAACAAUUUUAACUUGAAUGAAAGAUAGAAUAAGUUACCUUGUUGUUGCUUAUGUUCCUUGAAACCUUGUGAGCCUAGCACCCCAAGUGUGAUGCCUCAAAUGCUUCACACAACACCAAAUGCUCUUGGAAAGACUUUUGAGAGAACACACACUUCUUAAAAUCGGCCAAGCCCUCUAGUUUCUUAUGUGUGUACGAUUUUGUGGAGAAUGGGACUCUUAUAUAGUGUUGACACAUCUAGGGUUACACCAUGUAAACCCUAAUGUGUCAUGACUCUUCAUUUCCAUGACCCAUGGGUUUGUAACUCCCAUGGAGCAUCCAUGGAGCAUCCUAUGGGUAGAACCCAACUUGAUAAUCCAUGGAGCCUCUUAGCCCACUAUACAAGAUAUGGAUGAUUUACAUAAUCAACCCAUAUAUUUAAUUAGUUAUCCUUUGAUCACUUAAUUAAUUCCAAAUUAAUUCUUUGAUCAACUAAUCAAAUAAUAUUAUUAAUAUAUUAGAACUUAUAAUAUAUUAAUAAUCUCCAAGUGUUAUUUCUCUCAUUUAGUCUAUCCAAUUGCAUGGUGCCAUGCAACCCAAAUGGACCAUGCCGGGUCGGGUCAAGUACAAGCCCGAAAUAGUUAUGGACUUAGACACCUUAUCCAACAGUCUCCCACUUGGAUAAGUCUAAUAACUAUAUCUCUAGUACUUCAGGAACCGACCGGCAAUCGUAGCUCUUUCAAGGUCUCUCGGAACUGAGAAGAUGAUGGUACGCCAUUUAAGAUAAGUGAUCAUAUAAUCCUCCGUUCUAGAUAUCAGCCGGACAAAUACAUGGAACAUUGUCUUGCUUAUUGUCCAGCAUUUGUUUCCCGAUUUCCGAUUUGUUUGACAUAGAACUUAAUUGAACACAUCAACUUAGUUCUGACCGGGCCCGGUACAUGGGUCAAAACAAAAUCAUCGAGGGGCCCAGAUAUCAGCUUCUAAUCCAAGAAGGAACAGAUAAACUUCGACUCAUAUGUUUGUUCUACCACUCAUUGAAUUACACACAAAAGUACGUUUUAUAACAUCGAGUUACCAAUGCGGUUUCGUACAGUCAAUGCAUAACCAACUUGUAAGUAACAAAUCAUAUCUCUAGGUUUGAAGACUUAUAUGAUAUUACCGUCUCACGAUCACUCGAGAUAGAAUUCCAUGAAGUGAUUCCAGUGAGCGUGGGUUGAGUCCAAUGCUCAGAACUUAUGAGCACUCAUGAUUGUUGUAGCCUUGUCCAACACCUUAGACCUCUACAACCCAUCAUGACAGUCUUGAUUCAUACCUACUUCCGACAUAUGACCGACUGUGGAGGUUUGAAUAAUAUGUUACACCAAACAAAAUUAUUCUGGAAGUCAAAACAUGCAAAAGAAAUAUAGUAAACGAUUGACAAGAGAUAGCAACACUUUACUCAUAAAUAAAACACCUUUUAUUCAUCAUCAAAUGUCAAUUACACUUUACAAAUUUCUGGGUUAUCUAACUACUAAAACUUAUAUCAUCCUUCAGCCCUAUGCUCCGAGCAUGCUGGAGAUGCUUAACCCUACUCAGUCCCUUCGUGAGGGGAUCUGCUGGGUUCUCAUCCGAUGAUACCCUCUUUGCCACGAGGAGUCCUUCUUCGAUCCGAUGUCUAAUGAAAUGGUAUUUUCUGUCGAUGUGUCUGGAUCUCCCAUGAUCCCUUGGUUCCUUGGCUAAGGCAACAGCACUUUCACUAUCACAGAAAAUUUCCAUUGGCUCUUUAAUAGCUGGUACAACUCCAAGGUCUCCAAUGAAGUUCUUCAGCCAUAUCGCCUCCUUUGCUGCUUCGCUAGCUGCAAUAUACUCUGAUUCACAAGUAGAAUCUGCCACUGUCUCUUGCUUGGAACUCUUCCAAGAAAUUGCUCCUCCGUUUAGGGUAAAGACCCAGCCCGACUGAGAGCGGAAAUUAUCCCUAUCAGUCUGGAAGCUAGCAUCACUAUACCCUACAACUCUCAAGUCAUCACUCCCACCGAGGGUAAGGACCCAGUCCUUAGUCCUCCGUAGGUACUUGAGGAUAUUCUUUACCGCAGUCCAGUGUGCCUUGCCAGGGUUCGCCUGAUACCUGCUAACCAUGCUCAAGGCAAAAGCUACAUCGGGUCGAGUACACGUCAUAGCAUACAUGAUCGAUCCUACAGCCGAAGCGUAAGGUGUUCGACUCAUUUCUGCUAUCUCAGCCUCAGUGCUAGGGCUUUGUGUCUUACUCAAUCUGGUGUUACUCUGGAUGGGUAACUCUCCUUUCUUGGAAUCCUGCAUGCUGAAUCUCUUCAGCACCUUAUCCAAGUAGGUACUCUGACUAAGUCCAAUUAGUCUUUUACUCCGAUCUCUCAAGAUUCUUAUCCCUAGAAUAUAGGCAGCUUCACCAAGGUCCUUCAUAGCGAAACACUUCCCAAGCCAGGACUUUACUUCCUGCAGGGUUGGAAUGUCGUUUCCUAUGAGUAGUAUGUCAUCCACAUACAAUACCAAAAAGCUAACUAUACUCCCACUAGCCUUGACAUACACACAAGAUUCAUCUUCACUCCUAGAAAAGCCAAAUUCCUUGACCUUUUCAUCAAAGCAAAGAUUCCAUCUGCGAGGUGCUUGCUUCAAUCCAUAAAUGGAUUUCUCAAGCUUACACACUCUAUUAGGGUACUCGUUGCUGACAAAACCCUCUGGCUGACUCAUGUAAACAUCUUCAGCCAACUUUCCAUUAAGGAAAGCGGUUUUGACAUCCAUCUGCCAUAUUUCAUAGUCAUGAAAUGCAGCUAUGGCUAACAGAACCCGAAUAGACUUAAUCUUGGCUACCGGAGAAAAGGUCUCAUCAUAAUCCACUCCAGGAAUUUGAGAGAAGCCCUUUGCAACCAGUCUAGCCUUAUAAGUGUGUACUUUACCAUCCAUGUCGGUCUUCUUCUUGAAGACCCAUUUGCACCCUACUGUCUUACGACCUGGUACAUUUUCAACCAAGUUCCAAACUUGAUUGUCAUACAUGGAUUGUAUCUCGCUAUCCAUAGCCUCUUUCCAUUUAGCAGACUCGGGGCCUGCCAUGGCUUCCUCGUAGCUGUUAGGGUCAUCUUGACUUACUAGUGUCUCAUCACUAAUAAGUGUCUCACCUUCUGCAGUAAUAUGGAAUCCAUAGUAAUGCUCAGGUGCACUCCUAACUCUCGUGGAACGUCUCAGAGGUACAGAUUUGUCAAUUGGCUCAACAGGAGUUUCCUCCUCAAGUUGAGGGCUAGAGUUUGAAGUUCCUUCACCGCUUGAUUCUUGAAUUUCUUCAAGAUCAAUUUGCCUCCCACUGUCUCCUUGGCUUAUAAACUCUCUUUCUCGAAAGACUCCUCUUCUUGCUACAAAGACCACAUUGUCACUAGGUCUGUAGAAGAGGUAACCAAAGGAUCGCUGUGGGUAACCGAUGAAAAUACACCUCUCGCUUCGAGGUUCGAGCUUAUCAUGAGUCUCGCGUCUCACGAAAGCCUCGCAACCCCAAAUCUUGAUGUGGUCUAGUUUAGGUACUUUACCAGUCCACAUCUCGUGAGGAGUUUUGGCAACUUUCUUUGUAGGGACUAGAUUAAGAAUAUGGGCGGCAGUCUCUAAGGCAUACCCCCAGAAUGAGAUUGGUAGCGUAGCUCGACUCAUCAUGGAACGAACCAUAUCUAACAAGGUUCGAUUACGCCUCUCAGCCACACCAUUCAACUGUGGUGUCCUGGGAGGUGUCAAUUGUGAGACUAUCCCACAUUCCCUUAGAUAGUCGAGGAACUCUGAACUAAGAUACUCACCACCACGAUCGGAUCGAAGCAUCUUAAUGUUCCUGCCCAAUUGAUUCUCGACUUCCUGUUUAAAUUCCUUAAACCUCUCGAAAGUCUCUGACUUAUGCUUGAUCAAGUAGACAUAUCCAUAUCUACUAUAAUCAUCAGUAAAAGUCAAAUAAUAACGAUUAGCAUCCCUUGUGGCAUGUUUGAAUGGUCCACACACAUCCGUGUGUAUAAGGUCCAACAAACCUUCACCCCUCUCACACGAACCUGUGAAGGGUGACUUUGUCAUUUUUCCAAGUAAGCAUGAUUCGCAACUAUCAUCUGACUUUAGGUCAAACGACUCCAAGACUCCAUCCUUUUGGAGUUGGCCUAUGCGUUUCUUGCUUAUAUGUCCAAGACGACAAUGCCAUAAAGAUGCUUUAUCCAAGUUAUUAUUAGUAGAAUCAAUACACAAAACAUUAUUUCCCAAGUUAUCUACAACAGAUACAGCUUCAUACACACCAUCACAAGGUAAUGCUUUAAAAUAAAAGACAUUAUUAUAGAAAACAUCUAUAGAACCAACUUCAUUAUUAAAUGAAAAGGUAAACCCUUGUUUGUACAAAGCAUGAAAGGAAAUAAUAUUUCUUGCCAUUCCUGGCGAAUAACAACACUUAUUCAAAUCUAAACUAAACCCACUACUUAGCGAUAAAGUAUAAACUCCAAUCUUGGUAACAGGUAUAGCUUUCCUAUUCCCCAUGAUCAAGUUUAUCCUUCCUUGCUCCACAUCCUCACUUCUUCUUAGUCCCUGCAAGUCACAACAAAUGUGAAUACCACACCCGGUAUCAAGGACCCAAGAAUUAGAAUGGGGUGAGUUAUUAGAAAUGAUAGUGUAAAUACCUGCAUGGUUGGGUUUAACUUUCCCAUCCUUCACAUCUUGCUGGUAUUUUGGGCAGUUCCGCUUCCAAUGAGCUUUUUCAUGGCAAUAGAAGCAUUCAGCCUCUUUUGGGUCAGAAGAAGGAGUAAUGAAACCUUUCUUGGUUCCACUUGAAGAAGAGCCAUCAAGGGUCCGAACCUUGGUACCCUUAGAAGAGCUCUUUCUCUUCCUCCCUCGACUUUUCCCGAUUGCCAAAACCGGAGUAGAGUUUUGAGUAGGAGUGAUAGCAACCGACUUCCCCUUAAGACCUGAUUCUGCGGUCUUGAGAAGUCCCUGAAGUUUGCUGAGGGUGACUUCUUCCUUGUUCAUGUGAUAUGUCAUGCGGAAUUGAUCAUAGCACGAUGGUAAGGAAUGCAAAAUAAUAUCUAUUGCAAGAUCCUCCGGGAAGUUCACAUUAAGCUUCAGCAAACGAUCCACAUACCUUUGCAUUUUCUGCAUGUGGCUCGUGACGGAUUCCCCGUCCUUCAUCAUGGUUGUUAUCAUGGAGCAGAUGAUUUCAUACCUCUCUUGUCUUGCACUUUGAUGGUAUCUUUCCAUCAAAUCUUGGUGCAUUUCAUAAGGGUAGAAAUCCUCAUAAGACUUUUGGAGUUCCGCUGUCAUCGUGGCCAUCAUGAUGCAAGCCACUUUCGUAGCAUCCCUUUCAUGUGCCCGAAAUUCAGCGAUCUCCUGAGGAGUUGCAGUGGACUCAUCAAUCUCCUUAAGCUCCUUGUCAAGGACAUAUUCUUUGUCCUCGUAGCGGGUAAUCAUCCUGAUGUUUCUGAUCCACUCAUUGAAGUUGGAUCCAUCAAAGGUGACUUUCCCACACAAGUUCAUAAGGGUAAAGGAGCCAUUAGGAUUAGAGCCAGAAGCAUUGUUGAAAGACAUCUGAAGGAAAGAGGACAAGAUUAGUUUAGAUAUAAGAGAGUCCUUAAUAAAACACCCAAAUGUAAUAUUAAGGCUAGGAUCCAAUCACAAUAUAAUAUAACUUAGAAGAGGUAUGCCGUAAUCUAAGCUAUAUCAUAUUUGAAAGGUAGGUGAAUGACGAUUCACCAAUUUCCACCACGAAAACCGCAAUAUUUUAGUAUUAGGUUUUUGAAUGGUUCUUAGAAAUUCCUAGAUUCUUUGAGAUUCAAUGAACUUUUCAAAGGCAUGUUUCAAUCUCGAGUGUGCCCUCCAAGUUUUGUGACUGGGAUACCGAGGAUCACAAAACGAGGUGUGAAGUAACCAUGCAAAUCACUUGGUACCCUUAAAGUUUAUCACUCAAUCGAUGUGCCGGUUAACCACACACGCUCCAUCGAUACUAUAAUAAACCCUAAGUCACCCUUUACCUACCUUGUUAAGUCCAAGUUAGUGUGCCGGUUAACCACACACGCUCCACCAACGACUUAAUCAAAGUGUAAAGUGUAAUUUCAUGGAAUAGCACCUUAUUCACAUUUUUCCUAAAGUAACUAAGAUUGGGAAUUUAAUAAAACAUUUAGUUACUUUAUAAUAUUCAUCAUACUUUGAAUGAGAAUUAAUAAGUCCUUGUCUUACCCGUUCGGCUAACGACCCUCCACCGAUCAAGCAAGCGGUGGGUGAGAGUGGACACCCAUUAAGUCACCAUUUUAUAGGCAACAACCUUAUACCCACCUUAUAGACCGGCUUCGUGAAUGAGGCGUACUAGCGGUAAGACGACUUUGUUCUUAUACAUAUAUAUAUAAUUAUUAAAUCAUAAUAAUAUAAGUAUAAGGGUUGAAUUUUAACUUUUAAAAUUCUAGGGGUUGGAACUAAAGUUUUAACUUAACUUUACUUGUUCCAAAACUUGAGGGCAAGUUUUGUAAACUUUCAAAACUUUUCAUUUCUUGUAACUUAUGAGUUUAAUAGAGUAAUAAAAUGAGGACUUUUCAUUUUUCCUAACUCUUGUGUUCUUUUAAUGUUUUUUAAUCCAAGAGACUUUUGGUUUUCCAUAACUUGAGGACAAGUUAUGGACUCCAUUAAAACACAUUAUGAUCAUGAAUUAAUCUACCACAUAGGUUACAAAUAAUUCCUAUGAUCAUCUAAACAUCAUAAGAACAAGAAUAUGAAUAUGAACACUUUCAAGAAUCAAAAUCACAUUUAAUCUUUGUAAUUUUGAUAACUAGUUGUUGUAAAUGAGUUAGAAAAGACAUUACACCUUCUAAAAUAAGUUUUCAAGUACCAAAACAUUUUAGGGUAAUGAUUCUAAUCCAUUUCCAGCAACUCAAGUCGAAAUUCUGCACUCUGUCGACCCUACUCGCCGAGUGCAUAAACCUACUCGCCGAGUAGGUUGAAGAUACACAUGAACUCGACGAGUCCUCCCCAUGGACUCGCCGAGUCCAUCAGUCAGACAGCAAGAUUUUCGACUUUCUUCAACUUUUAAGCACAAAUAACAAACAAACAAGCCUAGGCUCUGAUACCACUGAUGGGUUUUGAGCAUUCUAACACUUCCUAAGUGUACAUGCAACCCUAAUAACCUUGGAUCUAUGUUUGUCUAAUUAUCAUGCAAA